CCUAGCUCCCUUCUUCCCGACAGCCUUCGCGCGGGGCCUGACGCUCCGCUCCGCAAGAUGGCGGCGGACAGUGAGCCCGAGUCCGAAGUGUUUGAGAUCACAGACUUCACCACAGCCUCGGAGUGGGAGAGGUUUAUUUCCAAAGUUGAAGAAGUCUUGAAUGACUGGAAACUGAUUGGACCCUCUCUGGGAAAGCCACUGGAAAAGGGUAUAUUUACUUCUGGCACAUGGGAAGAGCGAUCAGAUGAAAUUUCCUUUGCUGACUUCAGGUUUUCAGUCACACAUCACUAUCUUGUACAAGAGUCUCCUGAUAAAGAAAGAAAGGAUGAAGAAUUGGAGGACGCUAUUCCACAGUCAAUGCAAGAUUUGCUAUGUAUGAAUAACGACUUUCCUCCAAGAGCACAUUGCCUGGUAAGAUGGUAUGGCCUGCGUGAGUUUGUGGUGAUUGCUCCUGCUGCACACAGUGAUGCAGUUCUCAGUGAAUCCAAGUGUAACCUCCUCCUUAGUUCCAUUUCUAUUGCUUUGGGAAACACUGGCUGCCAGGUACCACUGUUUGUCCAAAUACAUCACAAAUGGCGACGAAUGUACAUGGGAGAAUGUCAAGGUCCUGGUGUUCGUACUGACUUUGAAAUGGUUCAUCUUCGAAAAGUGCCAAGUCAGUACACUCAUUUGUCAGGCCUGCUGGACAUCUUCAAAUCCAAAAUUGGCUGUCCUUUAACUCCAUUGCCUCCAGUUAGCAUUGCGAUUCGGCUCACAUACGUGCUUCAGGAUUGGCAGCAAUACUUUUGGCCUCAGCAGCCUCCAGAUAUAGAUGCCCUUGUGGGAGGAGAAGUUGGGGGCCUGGAGUUCGGCAAGUUGCCAUUUGGUGCCUGUGAAGAUCCUAUCAGUGAACUCCAUUUAGCAACAACGUGGCCUCAUUUGACAGAAGGGAUCAUUGUAGAUAAUGAUGUUUAUUCUGAUUUGGAUCCUGUUCAAGCUCCCCAUUGGUCGGUUAGAGUUCGGAAAGCUGAUAAUCCCCAGUGCUUACUAGGUGAUUUUGUUACUGAAUUUUUAAAAAUUUGCCGUCGAAAGGAAUCAACGGAUGAAAUUCUUGGACGAUCCACAUUUGAAGAAGAGGGAAGAGAAGUUGCUGAUAUAACUCAUGCUUUGUCAAAGCUGACUGAGCCAGCGCCAGUUCCAAUUCAUAAAUUAUCAGUUUCAAAUAUGGUACACACUGCAAAGAAGAAGAUACGGAAGCACAGAGGGGAAGAGUCGCCGCUGAACAGUGAUGUUCUCAAUACUAUUCUCUUGUUCUUGUUCCCAGAUGCUGUCUCUGAGAAGCCGUUAGAUGGAACUACUUCAAUAGACAAUAGCAUUCCUGCACCAGAGGCUGGAGACUAUACUCUCUACAAUCAGUUCAAGUCUGCGCCUUCCGACAGUCUAACAUACAAACUGGCCUUGUGUCUUUGUAUGAUCAACUUCUACCAUGGAGGGCUGAAGGGAGUGGCACAUCUCUGGCAGGAAUUUGUUCUUGAAAUGCGUUUCAGAUGGGAAAACAACUUUCUGAUUCCAGGACUAGCAAGUGGAUCACCAGAUCUAAGAUGCUGCUUACUGCAUCAGAAACUACAGAUGUUAAAUUGUUGUAUUGAAAGGAAGAAAGCACGUGAUGAAGGGAAAAAGACGAGCCUCUCGGAUAGUACGACUAGUGCAUAUCCAGGGGAUGCUGGGAAAACUGGAGGCCAGCUGGGCCUGGACCAUCUCAGAGAUACAGAGAAGGAAAAGGGAGAAGUAGGGAAGUCCUGGGAUUCCUGGAGUGAUAGUGAAGAAGAGUUUUUUGAAUGCCUCAGUGAUACGGAAGACCUUAAAGGAAACGGACAGGAGAGUGGUAAGAAAGGCGGUCCCAAGGAGAUGGCAAACUUAAAGCCAGAAGGCCGCCUGCACCAGCACGGGAAACUUACCCUGCUGCAUAAUGGAGAGCCUCUCUACAUUCCAGUGACCCAGGAACCAGCACCCAUGACAGAAGAUCUGCUGGAAGAGCAGUCUGAGGUCUUAGCAAAAUUAGGGACAUCUGCUGAGGGGGCGCACCUCCGCGCACGCAUGCAGAGUGCCUGUCUCCUCUCCGAUAUGGAGUCUUUUAAGGCAGCUAAUCCAGGCUGCUUUCUGGAAGAUUUCGUGAGGUGGUACUCACCAAGGGACUACAUUGAGGAGGAGGUGACUGACGAGAAGGGCAAUGUGGUCCUGAAGGGGGAGCUGAGUGCCCGUAUGAAGAUCCCCAGCAACAUGUGGGUAGAAGCCUGGGAGACUGCUAAGCCUGUGCCAGCACGACGUCAGAGGAGACUGUUUGAUGACACCCGAGAGGCUGAAAAGGUCCUGCACUACCUGGCCAUGCAGAAGCCUGCAGACCUAGCCAGGCACCUCCUGCCUUGUGUGAUUCAUGCAGCUGUUCUCAAGAAAGUCUGGAAAACAUUCCUUCUGUUAAGAAGAUUAUAAAGCAGAUCAUAGCCCAUUCCAGCAAAGUUCUGCAUUUCCCCAAUCCUGAGGACAAGAAACUGGAAGAAAUCAUCCUUCAGAUUACUACUGUGGAAGCUAUAAUAGCCCGAGCCCGGUCCCUGAAGGCCAAAUUUGGAACUGAGAAGUGUGAGCACGAGGAGGAAAAGGAAGGUCUGGAAAGGUUUGUCAGCUGCCUGCUGGAGCAGCCUGAGGUAUCAGUCACUGGGGCAGGAAGAGGACAUGCUGGCCGCAUCAUCCACAAGCUGUUUGUGAAUGCUCAGCGGGCUGCGGCAGUGGCUCUGCCAGAGGAGGAGCUUAAGAAAUCAGGCUGCCCAGAGGAGAGAAGACAGACCUUGGUGUCAGACUUCCCACCACCUGCAGGCCGGGAGCUGAUCCUGAGGGCCACUGUGCCGCGGCCUGCUCCCUACUCCAAGGCCCUGCCACAGCGUAUGUACAGCGUACUCACCAAGGAGGACUUCAGACUCGCGGGUGCCUUUUCCUCAGACACCUCCUUUUUCUAGGGGGAGGAGGAGGAGCGGCAGCUCCUGCCGUGGGCACCUGAGACGCCCUUGUGGAACCAGCAGCAGGAGUCACACCAGCAUCCAGAAGCAUGUCCAGUACCAAGCUUGAGCCAGAUGGAUAGAUUUGAGGUGUCAGAGACUUCCACCUGGGGGGAGGUGGCCUGUGUUAGGGGAACCUCACAUCAGCAGGCCUCUUACCUUGGGGGACAGAGUUUGUUCAUUCUCCUGUGACAGUCAUCUGUGUAGACACUUAGUAGCUAUCCUUACUAGUAUUCCAUAUGCAAGGUAGAGUAUCCGUUAACUCACAUUCUGGACACUUGCUGGUAGAGCCUUUAGUCCCAGGAUCUGUGUUUUUAAACUGCCACGUAGCAUUCUGUUUAUUCAGUCACCAGAUGGAUGGUCAGCUUUAUUAUGCUGUUUCAUGAGCAUUUGAAUAUUCUAGGAGAAAGACUAGAAUUUCAAUUUUUUCCAUGCCACUAACCAAAUGCAUUUCUUCUGAUAAAUCUGUACAUGAAAUGUAGCUGCAGAUUAGAGCUCUCUCUGUGUGUCUGUCUGUGUGUCUGUCUGUCUGGUAGGAUCUCUCGGUCCUCUUGGUUGCACCCCUGCUUUGCACUUUACUUCUCUGCGUUGCUGGUUAGGGAUGGUAUUUAAUGACAUCAUACGAGCACAUGUUGAACACACAUCCUGGGAACAUAGAUCACCAUGCAGUUAGUGAGCUGUGGUGUGUGUGCCGAGGCUGUGAGUGGGCUGAAGCACCCGGUGCAGGGGUGAUGGCUCUGUCCUCUGCAGCUCAGAAUGCAUCAGUACGCUGCUGCGGGACCUCUCCUUGGUGAUUGUAAAUUAUUUUGGGACCUAAAAUUCCCACUUGAAUCCAAAGUAAAAAAUGGUUAUGGUGAAGUGUAAAUUCCGCCUGUGUGAUUUUUAAAAAUUAAUAGACCUACACAAGCCCUGUGUUAUUUUUGUAAAAGAAAAAAAAGAGUAUAUAUAUAUAUAUUUAUCUGUAUGGUGUGCACAGACACGUGUCUGUUUGGGUAUAUGAGGGCCAGGGGCCAACCCCUAGACUUCCCAGCGAGCACUCUUUCCUCUGAAAUGCUGGACUUUGCUUCUUAGAAACCCAUAGAUACGGGCUGAGGCAUGAGGGGCCAGAACAAAUACAAGACAGGACAGUGUUUGCUUUCCUGGGUAUUGAUGACAGAACUCUACAGUGUGGGGUUGGUCUAAAAUGGCAUUGUUUAUCUAAUAAAACGGACUGCUGUUUAUGUGUG